rnacentral:rRNA from 1 species
CCUACGGGAGGCAGCAGUGAGGAAUAUUGGUCAAUGGCCGGAAGGCUGAACCAGCCAAGCCGCGUGAAGGACGAAGGUGCCAAGCAUUGUAAACUUCUUUUGUCAAGGGACAAAAUCAGGCUCGAGAGCCUGACCGAGGGUACUUGAAGAAAAAGCAUCGGCUAACUACGUGCCAGCCGCCGCGGUAAUACGUAGGAGGCAAGCGUUCUCCGGAAUGACUGGGCGGAAAGGGGGCGUAGGUGGUUUGACAAGUUGGUAGCGUAACGCCGGAGCUCAACUUCGGAACUACUACCAAAACUGGUGGACUAGAGUGCAGGAGGGGCAACUGGAAUUUCUAGUGUAGCGGUGGAAUGCGUAGAUAUUAGGAAGAACACCGGUGGCGAAGGCGAGUUGCUGGACUGUAACUGACACUGAGGCACGAAAGCGUGGGGAGCAAACAGGAUUAGAUACCCGGGUAGUC